AGAGUUUGAUCAUGGCUCAGAUUGAACGCUGGCGGCAGGCCUAACACAUGCAAGUCGAACGGUAACAGGAAGCAGCUUGCUGCUUCGCUGACGAGUGGCGGACGGGUGAGUAAUGUCUGGGAAGCUGCCUGAUGGAGGGGGAUAACUACUGGAAACGGUAGCUAAUACCGCAUAAUGUCGCAAGACCAAAGAGGGGGACCUUCGGGCCUCUUGCCAUCGGAUGUGCCCAGAUGGGAUUAGCUUGUUGGUGGGGUAACGGCUCACCAAGGCGACGAUCCCUAGCUGGUCUGAGAGGAUGACCAGCCACACUGGAACUGAGACACGGUCCAGACUCCUACGGGAGGCAGCAGUGGGGAAUAUUGCACAAUGGGCGCAAGCCUGAUGCAGCCAUGCCGCGUGUAUGAAGAAGGCCUUCGGGUUGUAAAGUACUUUCAGCGGGGAGGAAGGGAGUAAAGUUAAUACCUUUGCUCAUUGACGUUACCCGCAGAAGAAGCACCGGCUAACUCCGUGCCAGCAGCCGCGGUAAUACGGAGGGUGCAAGCGUUAAUCGGAAUUACUGGGCGUAAAGCGCACGCAGGCGGUUUGUUAAGUCAGAUGUGAAAUCCCCGGGCUCAACCUGGGAACUGCAUCUGAUACUGGCAAGCUUGAGUCUCGUAGAGGGGGGUAGAAUUCCAGGUGUAGCGGUGAAAUGCGUAGAGAUCUGGAGGAAUACCGGUGGCGAAGGCGGCCCCCUGGACGAAGACUGACGCUCAGGUGCGAAAGCGUGGGGAGCAAACAGGAUUAGAUACCCUGGUAGUCCACGCCGUAAACGAUGUCGACUUGGAGGUUGUGCCCUUGAGGCGUGGCUUCCGGAGCUAACGCGUUAAGUCGACCGCCUGGGGAGUACGGCCGCAAGGUUAAAACUCAAAUGAAUUGACGGGGGCCCGCACAAGCGGUGGAGCAUGUGGUUUAACUCGAUGCAACGCGAAGAACCUUACCUGGUCUUGACAUCCACGGAAGUUUUCAGAGAUGAGAAUGUGCCUUCGGGAACCGUGAGACAGGUGCUGCAUGGCUGUCGUCAGCUCGUGUUGUGAAAUGUUGGGUUAAGUCCCGCAACGAGCGCAACCCUUAUCCUUUGUUGCCAGCGGUCCGGCCGGGAACUCAAAGGAGACUGCCAGUGAUAAACUGGAGGAAGGUGGGGAUGACGUCAAGUCAUCAUGGCCCUUACGACCAGGGCUACACACGUGCUACAAUGGCGCAUACAAAGAGAAGCGACCUCGCGAGAGCAAGCGGACCUCAUAAAGUGCGUCGUAGUCCGGAUUGGUGUCUGCAACUCGACUCCAUGAAGUCGGAAUCGCUUGUAAUCGUGGAUCAGAAUGCCACGGUGAAUACGUUCCCGGGCCUCGUACACACCGCCCGUCACACCAUGGGAGUGGGUUGCAAAAGAAGUAGGUAGCUUAACCUUCGGGAGGGCGCUUACCACUUUGUGAUUCAUGACUGGGGUGAAGUCGAACAAGGUAACCGUAGGGGAACCUGCGGUUG
rnacentral:rRNA from 1 species